ensembl:lncRNA
CUCCCCAACACCAUGGGAAGAAUGCCAAGGCUCCAUCCUUCAGUCUUCUAUGCCCCAGGCCUAAUCUUAACAGUUGGAGUGAGCACAUAACCCGUGUUUGGUCAAUGUGAGGUGUUUUCCUGAGAUUUUUAGGAAGACGAGGUCCUUUCCCAGGGUAUUAGUUAUAGUCGGGCAGGAUAGCCUAGAGUAGAGGGUCUCAAACUUCCUGCUUAUUCGAAUCCAGUUAGGGGCUUGAAUCUACCUGUUGCUGAAGCCAAAACGCCUUAAGUUCACCAAAAUCUCCAGUCGUAAAAAAGACAUGCUCCAGUUGUUUUUAAUGAAUCCCUGGAGAAUUUCUCUUUGCAGAUACUAUUUGAAACAAGUGACUGAGGGACUAGUUUUCUCCAACUUGGCACUCAUUGGAAUCCCUCGGGUGCUUGUUGAAGUCCACAUCAUUUGGCCCCACUCCUGCCUCAUAGUUUCUGGCUAGAUAGGUCUGAGUGGGGAGUUUGAGAAUGUGUAUAUCUCACAGGUGCCCAGUUGUUGCCGAUCUGAGGACCACACUUUGAGAACCACUGCGCUUCUCUAUAAGUUAAGGUCUGAACAUGCCAGUGAAAAGGUUGUGCUCCUUCUCGGGAGAGAGUAACGUAAAAUGUCUUUUUAAAAAAAACAGCAUAGAAUUCUCUGGAUUCCAGGGACUUUCAGAUAGGCUUGUGUUAUCUCAUGGUGAGUUUUGUUUGUUCUCUAAAGGUAGCAUGCUGCAAGGUUCUCGCUAUGUGAUUGCUGCUCUACUAUCCUUCUGAAUCAACGUGCCUUGGGUGGGAUUGGGGAGUUUGUCUUCUAACAAUCGCAUAGGUUUUGCUGAUGCUGCUGGUUUGGGUAUCACAGUCUUGAGAUCCACUGAUUGAGCAUCUAAGGAGACUAUUGUGAGGAUAAAAUCAACAGAGAUAAAUUGAAACCUAGACAUUCCAUGUCAUGGUGUGCAAGCUUAGUGCAAGCUUGGAAAUGCCAGCAGAGCAGGUACAUCAUCAUGGUUUCUUUUUUCACUACAAUUCUUUAAAAUAGCUAAAUUUUAAGUCCAAGCUUGAAGGAAAGCAGAAUGUAAGUUAAAGUUAAUCAAAAUGUGGGUUCGUGUGUGUAUAUAUAUAUGUGUAUAUAUAUAUAUAUAUGUAUUAAAUUAAUUUUGUCAUUUUCAUUUGUCACUAAAUUAAAUUUGACAUUGUAAUAAAUUCUUCAUAAAAUCAAAACCAAAGAAAAAUACAUAAUUGGCUGUAAAUAUCCUGUCACUGAGGAAAUACUAAAAUUUUGCUUUUUAAAAGAAAAAAUAGGAUCUACCAGCCUUCAUCAAAUAGCAGAUUACAGAUGUAUACCAAAGUUUGUGAAGAAAAAUGAAUCUGUGUUUUAAGGAUGAGUCUUAUGAAUCUUAUGUUUAGUCUCUAGAAACCAAUAUAUAGUGAAGACUAAUAUGAGAUGAUGAGAGGCAGAUUAAAAGGAAAUUGGCUAAAUUAAAAGUACGGUAUUUGAUUAGUCAAAGGUUUAUAAAAUUGCCAGAAAGAAAUAGAAUUUUUAAAAAAUUGUUUCAUGGUGAAAUAUGCUUUUAUGAAUAGAUGUAAUAUAUGAAAAAUAGUUUUCAUGUUUAGAUAGUUUUGGACAUUAAAAAUUAUUAGACUCAUUUUUAGUAUGUCUUUUUGGGGUCAUCGGUUAUUAGAAAAAUUGAGAAUUUGGCAAAUUAGCCAUUCAGUGAGUUAGUCAUGUGGGAAAAUGAAUUGAAGCAAGAUGACUAUCUGUAAGCUAGGCUAAAGACAGACUGUGGUAGACAUCAUUAGGUUUACUGCUCCAGUUUGAUGAUUGGUUAGAAGGAGUCACAGAACUCAGAAGAGCUGUUACAUU